AUUGCUGUCAAACUAAAGCCAAAUUUAGUGAUGAUUUAAAGCCCUGAAGUGGAUGCAUUGAUGAUGUAAGUUAAGUUAACAAAUUUACAAAUCCAUUUGACUUAAGAGGUCCCCCUUUAUUGAAAUAUUUUAUGUUAAUAUAUGUUGUUUGAUUGUUUGAACAGAGAAAAUCAUCCACAGAAAAUCACUCCACUCUCCUCUAUCCAUGAAUUUUAAAUGUUGAACACACCUCAAUCCAGAGUUAACCCGGGAUUGGGACUUUAUCAAAACACAUAAGUAAAUCUAAAUUAAAUAUCAGAUUCAAAGCGUUAGAAAUGGGGAUGUUGCGAGGACCUGCAGAUUUGGUGAUCAUGAUCUGCUCAGUGAUUUUUAGCCACCGCUCCUUAAGAUACUUGGUCAUUUCAUCAUUUCUUUUAUAUAUGAAUGAACUUCUUGAUUUCCACAGUGUUCAGACAUAUAAUAUAAUUAGUCACAAAUAUAAACAUCUGUGUAGACACCUUCACCCAUCCUUAAUGUUCUGUUGUGUUUAUCCAAAAUGUUUCAUAAAAUAUUCAGCCUAGCAAAACUUUUUUUAAGCAUAGACAGUAAAAAAAAGUUGACCAAGCAAUGAUACACAGUUUAACAGUCUGGGGGUUUUACUUCUUUGUGCAUCAGUCUGCUGGUUGGUUAAUGUUGAGUUAUGUUACAACAGACGGUCCGGACUGAUCGUCACAAAAAAACAAAGCAGAUAUGCAGGAAACUAUUUUAUCGUGUUGCAUGGCAACAGUCCAGCCUCUGUCAAGCUGUGGGACUAUUUGUGUAGACGGUCCCAGUGAAUCAAAAAUAUCUCUCUGGAGUUGACUUAUGGGGCUUGAAGAACUGUUUAUGAAAGCAAUAUUAUACUCAAGGUUGUGAUGAUACUCCACAUAUUUUCUUCAGCGUCUGGUUUAGCUGAUAUAAUCACAGCAAUGCUCAUUUCUUAAAGCUUCUUUAGUCCCACUUCACGAGAACUCACACAUCUUCUGUUAUUUUGUAGUUUACAUACUAGAAACAAGUGUGUACUCUGAAUCUGAGCUCAUUCCUAAAACCUUUAAAAAUGAAUGAAUACAUCAGAUAAAGCCAUUAACUGUGGACUACUUAGCUUGUCAGGGAUCUAUGUAAUGUCUUUGGACGUAGUAAAGUUCCUGUCCUCCAAUCGUCACUGAUUGCACCUUUAGUUUAGGUAUCUUAAAACCAAAUACUGCAUCUGAUUUGUCUCCAUAGUAAAGUUCACUCGGGACAUCUCUCAAAUAUAGUCAGUGCUGAAUAAAUGUAACGUCAGCUCAAUCAUCAUGCAUUACCUGAAACAUUACUAUGUCUUAUUCAGGGCUGACUUGAGCGUCGCAGGUAAAAGUCUCUCAGGAACACACUCUGUGGCCACUUACGUAAUAGAACACAAGCUUCUUUGGGAUUUUACAUUGUAAUGUAAGUCUGCCUCACAAUAAAUGGGUCGUCAGGUGAAAUAUUAAUGCAGGUGGGUCGAUGUGCUGUAUUUUUAAUGGAUUAUAAUGGAUUUAUUACACUAUAUUAAGCUCAGUGUGUUUUCAGAAGGCAUUUUCUACACCUCGUCGUGCACCGAAGUUCACUAUUAAACACGCAUGAAACCCUCAUUCAAACACAUCGAAACAGACAUGCAGGUGUUGUGUUUUUGUCCCUUUUUAAAACACCUGCUUUAAAGAGGGUUACCGGAUGACAGGCAGUUAUACUCCUGACUUAUUCAUGAUGUUAUUAUGCUGGCUGUCCCAUCUCCUUUAUUGAUUUUUCAUUUAUUUUAGGAUUAACCUUUUUCGUCUCCCCCUCUCUCGCUCGCUGUAAUGAGUAUUUGACCUCUUAGAAAUGAUCACACACCUGAAACUUUACAAAAUAGAAACGUAUUCAAGAACAAACCUUGUGUAUAUACAGUAUACUAUAAAUUGCUCUUUGCCGCAAGCGUGUUUUGGAUAGUUUAUCAAUUGGAGAGACGGUGGAUGAAGUUGCUAGAAAGUUUAAGAAUGUUUUACUGGGGAUAUUUUUGUGUGAGCCAUCUCAGAUUUUGAGAACUAGUUGUUCACAUAGUUGCUGUUUUGUUGGGUAUAUCUUAUUGUUAAUUCCACAUGAAUGGAAGUAAUUAUGUUUGAAAGUUUCAGAGAAGUCCCAACCCAAAGUUUAUGGUCGUUUUAGAGGCUGUUUUAACUUUUAAAAGAUAAUAAAGUGCAUAAAACUUUACAAUCAGGCACUACAGAUCUCUAAUAUAAAUCCUAACUCUAUUGGCCUGGAUUGAGGACAUGCACUCUCAAAAUACAAAGACACUUUGCAGUUUUUAACUAUUUUUGAUGCCAUUUGAAAUUAUUAUGCAACUAUACAACUUAAAAAUAUUUUUACCAUGAAUUUUAAAUGAGCAAAAAGAUGUUAAAUUCUCACCCCAGUCCCGUCCCCUGUCCCCUGUCCUGACCCUGUUACCUUUUCAUUUCAUAUCAUCACAUUACAGUUAAAUUUGUGCAGGAGAGUGUGCGUGUGAAAGGUGUGUAAAUGUUUGAGACUUCUACAUUAGAAAUAAGAUGUCACCGCUGCCUGUGAAUAAUUGAUUCCUUAAGUGUGAAAGAAGCACCGUUAUGAGUCUGCACAGCUUGCAUGUUCAGGCCUCUGCAGCCCCCCUCCCCUGUUCCCUUUCCGUCAGCUGCGUUUUUAACAGGUCAGGUACAUUUUAGAAAUUAAUUCAGCAAAAAUGUAACAGACUGCUUCACCGACACCUGUGCUGAAACAAAGUCACGAAAGCUAAUCUUGGCUGAAGGAAUACUGUAUGUCUGUGUUUUGUGUCUCCAGUAUCUCUGCGUCACUUUUAGCAGCUGCUCUGGAAUAAAAAAAACACUCCCUGCUUUCUUCUUGAAUGUGUCUAUUGUUAAAGUUGGAGGAAAUGCAGUUAUCUAGCAGCCAAGAGAGGAAGAAGAUUAGCUUAGCCUUGACAGUCUACUUCUGCCUGACUGGACUGCUUUUGCACUUUUCUGCUGUAAAACACACAAUGCAAAAGCAGAAAAUGAUGAAUUACUCUUCCUCUAGAGUUCAGGUUUGUUGGUUCGUGUAUGCCAUCUAGUGGUGAAAGUCUGAACCAACAAUCCUCUCCAAAAUCCACCUUUUUUUUUUUUUUUUUUUUUUUUUUGGCCGGAGUGUGAGUGUGCGGCAGGUAGCAAGCAUGUGAACAGGUCAGCAGUCCCUCUCAGGGCUAAUAGAGACUGACAGACAAUCAUUCACGCUCAUGCUUAAGCCUGUUGGCAGCUUAGUCUUCACCUGCAACUUGGAUGGAGAACACCCACAGGAAAUCAACAUGAGGGCACGGAGAAAAAAACAUGCAAUGUCCUGUUGUGAAAGGCCACAGCGGGGAAUCAAACCUGUGAUGGGCGGGGUUUGACCACAGGGGCGGUGCAUUUCCAGAGG